CGUCCAGCCCGCUCAGAAACUCAAAGGAAGUUGACGGGGCCCGCACAAGCGGUGGAGCAUGUGGUUAAUUCGAUGAUACGCGAGGAACCUUACCUGGGCUCAAAUGUAUGUUGACGUAUUCUGAAAGGGAUACUUCUUCGGACAAUAUACAAGGUGCUGCAUGGUUGUCGUCAGCUCGUGCCGUGAGGUGUCGGGUUAAGUCCCAUAACGAGCGCAACCCCUAUCAUCUGUUGCCAGCAUUUAAGGUGGGGACUCAGAUGAGACUGCCGGUGACAAACCGGAGGAAGGUGGGGACGACGUCAAGUCAUCAUGGCCCUUAUGUCCUGGGCUACACACGUGCUACAAUGGCCGGUACAGAGUGAAGCGAAACCGCGAGGUGAAGCAAAACGCAGAAAGCCGGUCUCAGUACGGAUUGGAGUCUGAAACUCGACUUCAUGAAGUUGGAAUCGCUAGUAAUCGCGCAUCAGCAUGGCGCGGUGAAUACGUUCCCGGGCCUU
rnacentral:rRNA from 1 species